CGAAGAGCGGAGAGGGGAGGGGGGCGGUAACCUGGGCGCCAAUGAGCACGCUACAGCGUACGGCCGACCCCCACUGGGAUAACUACAAUUCCCGACGUGCAAUGCUUCCGGAAGCCCCUUAUCCUAUCAUCGAAAAGUGCUACAGAUGCGGGGAGAUGCGUGCCGGGAGUUGUAGUCCCAACUCCUGGCAACUUUCGGUUUGUGGCGGGGAAGGUCAUAAUGAGACCUGUUGGUGGCUUAGUUGGCCGCCGGACUCUUUAAAAUCCUUUGGCUGCUGCUGGACGCUUCAAAUUGAAAAAGUUUCUUCCACCGGCGAUUCCACAUCUUCUCUACCUUAUCUUCUUAGUUUCCUCACUUACAACGUGGAAGAGAAAUGGAUCAUUGGAUGCUGCUAAGCAGCCAGCGGGCCAGGACUCCUGCGUUACGAUCUGGGCCUGUCCUUUUUGGCAGAAUGGAGCCUUAUUUUCCUCAUCUAUAAAAUGGAGAUAUUAGUUCCCAUCUCGGAGAGUGAUGGUCCAGCUGGCAUGAGAAUUUCAAGAGAUGGCUGAAUGUUAAUCAUCUUCACAAACAGAAGCCGUCAGGGUGGAAAGAGCAAGGUGGGAGAGAUCUACCCCUCAAAUCAGAUGGGGCUCCAUGAUGGCUGAAACAGGGCAGGAAGGAAGGACAGAGAACACAGCAAGGAGAUCUGUAGCUCCCUAAGCAGCCAGAGGCUUCCUCCCCACUUUUAAAGCCCAGGUUGGGUCCCGACGACCUGUGAGCCCUCCAAGGGAUGCUCAGUCCAUGCACACUGGCGGCAGACUGAGGCAGGCCCGUGUCCUGAGGUCCUGCAGCGUGGCACUUGUGGCUGGGAGGCCACAAUCAAGGCAGCUUCGUGAGAACAAGAACAGGUGGCAGGCCUGCAACUCAAAUCCCUUUCUCUAACACAUGGCCAGGAAAGAGACUAUGGGCACUGACCAAAGAGUGCUCUCGAAAUCUUCUCCUUUUACUCAGCUCCCAAAGAUGAAUUUGUCAAAUAGCUACUUAAAAAAGCAAAACAAAACAGAAAACAAACAUGUGUUUCCAUUUCAACUACAAUCAGCAGUUGGUAAUUUUUAGAAAAAGACUUGAGUUGCUGUUAAAUUUGUCUUUUUUA